rnacentral:rRNA from 1 species
UACGUAGGGUGCAAGCGUUAAUCGGAAUUACUGGGCGUAAAGCGUGCGCAGGCGGUUCUAUAAGACAGAUGUGAAAUCCCCGGGCUCAACCUGGGAACUGCAUUUGUGACUGUAGAGCUGGAGUGCGGCAGAGGGGGAUGGAAUUCCGCGUGUAGCAGUGAAAUGCGUAGAGAUGCGGAGGAACACCGAUGGCGAAGGCAGCCCCCUGGGUUGACACUGACGCUCAGGCACGAAAGCGUGGGGAGCAAACAGG